GGCCCUAUAGCACAAUGGUAGCGCGUUUGAUUCCAACUGAUUUUCAGAGGAACAUAUCAAAAGGUUGUCUGUUCGAGUCAGGCUAGGGUCA